rnacentral:misc_RNA from 1 species
UGUACUAUGAAAUUUCAAACUCUAUGAAUACAUAUUGAGAAUGUAUAUGAAUAUAUUUUUCUCCUUCAUAUAAGGUUUGCAAAGAUGUAGUGUCUUUUAGACAUAUCUUGGUCGUUUCCUGUUGAUUAUCAAGCUGCAGCUGCAGAGGAUAUUUCACCCUGCUUGUGCUUCAUCUACCUUUUGCAUUUAGCUAAUGAGUAUGGUGUUAUGACUAAGUAGUUAGUGA